rnacentral:rRNA from 1 species
CCUACGGGAGGCUGCAGUGAGGAAUAUUGGUCAAUGGGCGCGAGCCUGAACCAGCCAAGUAGCGUGAAGGAUGACUGCCCUACGGGUUGUAAACUUCUUUUAUAAAGGAAUAAAGUGUGGCACGUGUGCCUUUUUGUAUGUCCUUUAUGAAUAAGGAUCGGCUAACUCCGUGCCAGCAGCCGCGGUAAUACGGAGGAUCCGAGCGUUAUCCGGAUUUCUUGGGUUUAAGGGGAGCGUAGAUGGGUUGUUAAGUCAGUUGUGAAAGUUUGCGGCUCAACCGUAAAUUUGCAAUUGAGACUGGCAGUCUUGAGUACAGUUGAGGUAGGUGGAAUUCGUGGUGUAGCGGUGAAAUGCUUAGAUAUCAGGAAGAACACCGAUUGCGAAGGCAGCUUACUAAACUGCCACUGACAUUGAGGCUCGAAAGUGUGGGUAGCAAACAGGAUUAGAUACCCUUGUAGUC